AGAAAGAAUAGAUUUGAACGAGAGAGACGUUUCCCCUCUACUCGUAAACUGAUUACUUUUUACCUCUUGGUGGAACGACUGUCCAGAAAUUAUUGAAAACAAAUGGGGGCAUUUUGGUUUGUGGAGCUGGGUGUAUUAAUAUUAUUUCUCCAGGCGUUCAAACCAGGGUUGUCGGAGGAGUCAAAAUGUCUUCCAGGUUUCAAUUCAGAAAUGUACAUUUUCAAAGUGGAAAGAAAUCACUUACGAAGUGGCCGGAGUCUUGGAAAAGUGGUUUUUGAUGACUGCACCAUCCGUACCAGCUUUCUCUUUCACUCCGAGGAUUCACGCUUCAAAGUAGAUGGCGACGGGACGCUGAAACUGAAGAGGGGGCUGACUCUGCAUAAUGGACAUAAGGAGUUCUAUGUCUCUACCCAUUCCAAGGGCAAGAAGUUCACGGUUCCAGUCAGAGUGCUGCAUGAGGCCAGACAUGGCCACCACCACAAUCACCAUGAGAUGACCACCCAGCCCAAGCCAGGAGCAAGUCUGUCUCUACCUGUUCUGAACUUCCCUAAGUCUUCAGGAGGUCUGAAAAGAAGGAAGAGGGACUGGGUCAUUCCUCCCAUCAACUUCCCAGAGAAUGCCCGAGGCCCGUUCCCCAAGAAUAUGGUGCAGAUCAAGUCCAGCAAUGAUAAAGAGGUGAAGAUCCAGUACAGCAUCACUGGCACUGGGGCAGACCUACCUCCUGUGGGACUCUUCACUGUGGACAAAAACUCUGGAAUACUCUAUGUGACCCAGCCUUUGGACAGGGAGAAAAAAGACCAAUACAUUCUCCUAGCCCAUGCUGUUGCAGUGGGUGCAGGUAUAGCUGAGGAUCCCAUGGAGAUCAUUGUGAAAGUCAUCGAUAUGAAUGACAACAAACCUGUAUUUACACAAGAUCCAUUUACGGGAACAGUUCAUGAGGCAUCAAAACCAGGUGAUGAGGUCAUGCAGGUAACGGCCACUGAUACUGAUGAGGAGGGCUCUGCCAAUUCUGAUGUCAGAUACACCAUUCUCAGUCAGGAGCCUCCACUACCAAGCCCCAACAUGUUUGUCAUCAACCCUGUGACUGGAGGGAUUCGGGUUAACGCACCUGGGUUGGACAGAGAGAAAUUUACCAAAUAUACUUUGGCAAUCCAAGCUGCCGAUACGGAGGGAAAUGGCCUUACCAGCUUUGGCAAAGCCAUCAUUACAGUAACGGACAGCAAUGACAACGCGCCACAGUUUGUGACGCCUUCGUACACCGUGUCAGUCCCAGAGAAUAAAGUGGAUGCCUUGGUGGUGAAAAUGCCAGUGACUGAUGGAGAUGAGCCUCACUCCUCUGCCUGGGCCACCACCUACAAGAUAGUUGACGGGGACCCUCAAGGCCUUUUCAAUGUGUGCACAGGCCCUAGCAAGCUGGAGGGCACCAUUAUGACACCUGGAGCAAGUCUGUCUCUACCUGUUCUGAACUUCCCCAAGUCUUCAGGAGGUCUGAAAAGAAGGAAGAGGGACUGGGUCAUUCCUCCCAUCAACUUCCCAGAGAAUGCCCGAGGCCCGUUCCCCAAGAAUAUGGUGCAGAUCAAGUCCAGCAAUGAUAAAGAGGUGAAGAUCCAGUACAGCAUCACUGGCACUGGGGCAGACCUACCUCCUGUGGGACUCUUCACUGUGGACAAAAACUCUGGAAUACUCUAUGUGACCCAGACUUUGGACAGGGAGAAAAAAGACCAAUACAUUCUCCUAGCCCAUGCUGUUGCAGUGGGUGCAGGUAUAGCUGAGGUUCCCAUGGAGAUCAUUGUGAAAGUCAUCGAUAUGAAUGACAACAAACCUGUAUUUACACAAGAUCCAUUUACGGGAACAGUUCCUGAAGCAUCAAAACCAGGUGAUGAGGUCAUGCAGGUAACGGCCACUGAUGCUGAUGAGGAGGACUCUGCCAAUUCUGAUGUCAGAUACACCAUUCUCAGUCAGGAGCCUCCACUACCAAGCCCCAACAUGUUUGUCAUCAACCCUGUGACUGGAGGGAUUCGGGUUAACGCACCUGGGUUGGACAGAGAGAAAAUUCCCAAAUAUACUUUGGCAAUCCAAGCUGCCGAUAUGGAGGGAAAUGGCCUUACCAGCUUUGGCAAAGCCAUCAUUACAGUAACGGACAGCAAUGACAACCCUUCGUACACUGUGUCAGUCCCAGAGAAUAAAGUGGAUGUGACUGAUGGAGAUGAUCCUCACUCCUCUCCCUGUUCCACCACCUACAAGAUAGUUGACGGGGACACUCAAGGCCUUUUCAGUGGGAGCACAGGCCCUAGCAAGCUAGAGGGCAUCAUUACAACAGCUAAGCCGCUUGACUUUGAGAAGAAGAACAAGUACACUCUGCUGGUCACUGUGCAGAAUGAAGUCCCAUUCGCAAUCAGCCUGCCCACCUCCACUGCUACUGUUGUAGUGAAUGUGGAGGAUGUGAAUGAAGCUCCAGUCUUCACCCCAGUGGAGAAGAUUAUCAGGAAACCUGAGGACCUCCCUGUUGACAGUGACCUGGUUCUGUACACCGCCACAGACCCAGACACUGCAAGGAAUCAGAAAGUCACAUACAAGAUACGCAAUGAUCCUGCUGGAUGGCUAAAUAUCAACAAAGACACUGGGCUGAUCAAAGUCAAGAGCCUCAUGGACAGAGAAUCCACUUUUGUCCAAGACAACAAAUACUCUGUUGUUGUUCUGGGCAUCGACAACGAUGAAAUCCCGGCAACUGGCACUGGUACCCUUAUCAUAGAGCUGGAGGAUGUGAAUGAUAAUGCUCCAACCAUCGACGAGAGUGUGAUCAGGGUCUGCAACAAGGAGUCCUCCCCACAGCUGCUGUCAGUCACUGAUAAAGACAGCACGGGCUUUGCUGCUCCAUACACCGUACAGCUUCAGGGGUCGUCCCAUUCUAGCUGGACUGCCAGAAUGAACGACACAAAGACGGGCAUUAUCCUGACACUGAAGACUGUGUUGGACAGUGGAGAUUACAUGGUUGUCCUGAGAGUGUCUGACAACCAGGGCCUGCACCAUGACAGCACCAUCCAGGCCUCAGUGUGUGACUGCAAAGGAGCGGAUGUUCAGUGCACCGAUGAAGCUGCAACAGGCUUCGGCCUCUAGCAGUCUUACUACUCCUAUUGUUGUCUCUUCUGCUGCUCAUGUUCCUGCGGAAGAGAGGUGGUGAGAAGGAGCCUCAGGAGGACGAUGUCAUCUACUACUAUGACGAGGAGGGAGGUGGUGAGGAUGACCAGGUGAAAGGGACUCACCAGACUAGCUCAGAACAAGCCCAUUAGGUUCUCCCUAUAAAGACUAUCCUUAAGCAUGACAUUUAUUUUACUGAAAGCCUAAUCAGCCUUAGGAUUUUUUUGUUAACUGAGAUUAAUUAACAAGCUCAAUAAUUGCUUUUAAAAAUGUUUGAUAAACAUCUAAGUUUGGGUAUUUUUUAUUAUAAUCAAAUUGUUUUUUCUUUCUUGCUUCUGAAGAGUGAAUUAUGUAUAAAGGAUAUAUCCCUUUAGUACAAUGAUGGACAUGUGAUGGGUUGUCAUUUAUUUAAUAAAACUAACAUUUAUUCACUG